rnacentral:rRNA from 1 species
UACGGAGGGUGCGAGCGUUGUCCGGAAUCAUUGGGCGUAAAGGGCGCGUAGGUGGCCCGGUCAGUUCGUGGUGAAAGCCCGGGGCUCAACCCCGGGUCGGCCGUGCGAACUGCUGGACUGGAGCUUGUCAGAGGCAGGCGGAAUUCCGGGUGUAGCGGUGGAAUGCGUAGAGAUCCGGAAGAACACCGGUGGCGAAGGCGGCCUGCUGGGACAGUGCUGACGCUGAAGCGCGACAGCGUGGGGAGCAAACAGG